rnacentral:rRNA from 1 species
UACAGAGGUGGCAAGCGUUGUUCGGAAUUACUGGGCGUAAAGGGCGCGUAGGCGGCCAUCUAAGUCAGACGUGAAAUCCCCCGGCUUAACCUGGGAACUGCGUCUGAUACUGGAAGGCUUGAGUAUGGGAGAGGGAUGUAGAAUUCCAGGUGUAGCGGUGAAAUGCGUAGAUAUCUGGAGGAAUACCGGUGGCGAAGGCGGCAUCCUGGACCAUAACUGACGCUGAGGAGCGAAAGCUAGGGGAGCAAACGGG